rnacentral:lncRNA from 13 species
AUGGAGCGCAAGCGUGGCUGGGAUGCGCUGCUCUGUGCUGACACCCACCCCUAUGCCGUGGCUCUGCUGGCCAGGGAGAUGCGCCGUGCCUCGAACCCCUUGUGUUCCCGCAUUGCACUCCGCCUGCUGGGGCUGCUCAGCACAGAGGAGCCACGCUGGGAUCUGCCUGCCCUGGCGUUCCUUGUGGAGGUCGUCGAGUGCCAUGACAUGAGGGAAUGGAGUGACAGUGUCCUGGAGAUCAUUUCAAGGCGCCUGCAAAGUGAAUCCAGGGAAAAGCAUCGCCUGGCACUCAGAGGCCUCGUGGCGCUCAGCAAAGAUCCCUCAGUGGCCGAAGGCAUCCGGAGUCUGACACAAAACCUCAUGGACCUACUGCAGGAUGCAGAUGGAGAGGUGGUUGCACUGAUCCUCUCUGUAUUCCUGAAUGAACUCCAGGACAGAGCCACCCUAAUAUCCAGUCCCACUGCCCUACAGCUGGCUGAGGUGCUCCAGUCACUCUUUGCCAAUGACAACAGCCAUGUGCAGCUGCUCUCCAUUCGCCUCUUCCGAGAGGUGAUGGAGCUGGUAAUGGACAAGGGAAAAAAGGCCCUGAAGGCGCACGUGUGCCAGAGCCUGCUCCCGCUCUUCUUCCACUGCCAUGACGAGAACCGGCUUGUGGCAGAAGUGAGGACUCACGGGCUGCUGGGGUUCCCCUGGGAGGGGGCUCCGCUGCCUCCUGCCCUGGCGCCACACGGGCUGCAGCCUCCUCCUGGCCUUGGCACAGGGACGCGGGUCCUGUGCCCUGGGCUGUGGUGCCAUCUCUGGGUCUCUGCUGCUCUCCAGGCCUCCCAGGAAACACUGCUUUCUGCGCUAAGGUUCCUGAAGAGGAGGCAUCUGAAGCAGGUGGUGAAGAAGGAGCAGCCGUGGAAGUUCAGUGAGCGCCUGCUGGAGGAUGACAGGAGCCGAGCAGCUGAGCACCUGCGCCAGGCCCUGCUGUACCUGGACAGCCCACAGGAGCCCCUGCGAGAGGUGGCCAUCAGGUUCCUCGGGAUCGCAGGGCGGUACGUGAGGAAGCAGCAGGAAGAGCUCUGGCUCAUCUACAAGGCCCUUCAAGACCUGACUGACGACAUCAGCCCUGCCAUCUCAAGCUUGGCACUUCAAACCCUGCAACUUUUAAGAGCGGCACAGAGAGCUCCAUACUCUCCAGGUUUCAGAAGGUUGAAAAAUGACAGUGCAACGGAAAAGAAUCAGGUAAUUUGUCCUAAAAGAUGUUUUCUAUUACACAAUAGAAACUAUAUAUAG